GAUGAACGCUGGCGGCGUGCCUAAUACAUGCAAGUCGAGCGAACGGACGAGAAGCUUGCUUCUCUGAUGUUAGCGGCGGACGGGUGAGUAACACGUGGAUAACCUACCUAUAAGACUGGGAUAACUUCGGGAAACCGUAGCUAAUACCGGAUAAUAUUUUGAACCGCAUGGUUCAAAAGUGAAAGACGGUCUUGCUGUCACUUAUAGAUGGAUCCGCGCUGCAUUAGAUAGUUGGUAAGGUAACGGCUUACCAAGGCAACGAUGCAUAGCCGACCUGAGAGGGUGAUCGGCCACACUGGAACUGAGACACGGUCCAGACUCCUAAGGGAGGCAGCAGUAGGGAAUCUUCCGCAAUGGGCGAAAGCCUGACGGAGCAACGCCGCGUGAGUGAUGAAGGUCUUCGGAUCGUAAAACUCUGUUAUUAGGGAAGAACAUAUGUGUAAGUAACUGUGCACAUCUUGACGGUACCUAAUCAGAAAGCCACGGCUAACUACGUG
rnacentral:rRNA from 1 species